rnacentral:misc_RNA from 1 species
UCCACGUUUCCGUGGCAGUCCCGCUAGAGUGCUCAACUUAAUGUAGCAACUAACGGCAAGGGUUGCGCUCGUUAAAGGACUUAACCCAACAUCUCACGACACGAGCUGACGACAGCCAUGCAGCACCUGUGUAAUUGCCUGUUAUUGCUAACAGGAAAUGAUGUUUCCAUCACAGUCAAAAACAUGUCAAGUCCAGGUAAGGUUCCUCGCGUAGUGUCGAAUUAAACCACAUGUUCCACCGCUUGUGCGGACCCCCGUCAAUUUCUUUGAGUUUUAAUCUUGCGACCGUACUCCCCAGGCGGAUCACUUAUCGCGUUAGCUUCGACACCGAUAAUGCUAAGCACUACCAACAUCUAGUGAUCAUCGUUUACGGCGUGGACUAC